rnacentral:rRNA from 1 species
UUGCUCUUCAACGAGGAAUGCCUAGUAAGCGCGUGUCAUCAGCAUGCGUUGAUUACGUCCCUGCCCUUUGUACACACCGCCCGUCGCUACUACCGAUUGAAUGGCUCAGUGAGGCGUUCGGACUGGCUUGAGGAGGUUGGCAACGACCACCUUAAGCCGGAAAGUUCGUCAAACUCGGUCAUUUAGAGGAAGUAAAAGUCGUAACAAGGUUUCCGUAGGUGAACCUGCGGAAGGAUCAUUACUUUUCACUUUGGGAGCUGUUAGUCUAUAUCACUAUAGCUGGCUCCUAUUUGAAACCCUUGUCUUUUGCGUACCCAUGUUUCCUCGGCGGGCUUGCCCGCCGGUUGGACAACCUUAAAACCUUUUUAAUUUUCAAUCAGCGUCUGAAUAAAUAUAAUAAUUACAACUUUCAACAACGGAUCUCUUGGUUCUGGCAUCGAUGAAGAACGCAGCGAAAUGCGAUAAGUAGUGUGAAUUGCAGAAUUCAGUGAAUCAUCGAAUCUUUGAACGCACAUUGCGCCCCUUGGUAUUCCAUGGGGCAUGCCUGUUCGAGCGUCAUUUGUACCCUCAAGCUAUGCUUGGUGUUGGGUGUUUGUCCUCUCCUUUGCGAUUGGACUCGCCUUAAAGACAUUGGCAGCCAGUGUAUUGGUCUUGAAGCGCAGCACAUUUUGCGAUUCUUGCUGAUAAUCACUAGCGUCCAGUAAGCCUAUUUUAACACUUUUGACCUCGGAUCAGGUAGGGAUACCCGCUGAACUUAAGCAUAUCAAUAAGCGGAGGA